UUCACCAACCCCGCCGUAAAACGGACGGGGAUUGACCGAACCAAUUCGGUUGACGCAAGAGGUGAAUAGCCCGCAGAGCCGUUAGAUGUUACAGACCUCCGAAUACUUCCCUAGUUCGGAUUCCCUCUA
rnacentral:sRNA from 26 species